UUUAAACCUCUUCCAGAGUAUCAAUUGGAGGGCAAGUCUGGUGCCAGCAGCCGCGGUAAUUCCAGCUCCAAUAGCGUAUAUUAAAAUUGUUGCAGUUAAAAAGCUCGUAGUUGAAUUUCUGCUACAUUGCCUAUUCUCCUUUACGAGUUUGGGUCUUUUGUGGCUUAUCUGGGUUCGCUUGCGUUCCCGGUGUUUUACUUUGAGAAAAUUAGAGUGCUCAAAGCAGGCUUUUGCCUUGAAUAGUUUAGCAUGGAAUAAUAAAGUAGGACUUUGGUUCUAUUUUGUUGGUUUUAGGUACCAAAGUAAUGGUUAAUAGGAACAGUUGGGGGCAUUCGUAUUUAACUGUCAGAGGUGAAAUUCUUAGAUUUGUUAAAGACGAACUACUGCGAAAGCAUUUGCCAAGGAUGUUUUCAUUAAUCAAGAACGAAAGUUAGGGGAUCGAAGACGAUCAGAUACCGUCGUAGUCCUAACCAUAAACUAUGCCGACUAGAGAUUGGAGGUCGUCAGUUUUUACGACUCCUUCAGCACCUUGAGAGAAAUCAAAGUCUUUGGGUUCUGGGGGGAGUAUG
rnacentral:rRNA from 1 species